rnacentral:miRNA from 1 species
GGACGCGCGCGCGCGCGUGUGUGUGUGUGUGUGUGUGUGUGUGUGUGUGUGCUCAAGAUCC